GUGCCUACGGGGCGCAGCAGUCGAGAAUCAUUCACAAUGGGGGAAACCCUGAUGGUGCGACGCCGCGUGGGGGAAUGAAGGUCUUCGGAUUGUAAACCCCUGUCAUGUGGGAGCAAAUUAAAAAGAUAGUACCACAAGAGGAAGAGACGGCUAACUCUGUGCCAGCAGCCGCGGUAAUACGGAGGAUGCGAGCGUUAUCCGGAUUUAUUGGGUUUAAAGGGUGCGCAGGCGGCACGGCAAGCCGGCGGUCAAAUCGCGGGGCUCAACCCCGCCCAGCCGUCGGAACUGCCGGGCUAGAGUGGGCG
rnacentral:rRNA from 1 species